AGUACAAAGUGGGUUUACCGGUUGAUAAUAAUGCAGUAUAAAGUACAGUAUAAAGUAAUAGUGCAUAGUAAUAGUGAACUGUUAAGUUAAGUGUAGCUUAUUAAGAUUAUAAUGAUAAUAACAUUCUGUAUUGGUGGAAAGUAAUCCAGUACAUUUCAUCAAGUACUUUACUUAAGUAUAGUUUUAAUGUACUUUUACUAACGUCCAAAAAUCCUCGCUAACGUUUUAAAAAGGCUUUAAAGUACAGAAUGGGGUUUUUCCUCUCUAACUAAUCCCAUUUGUCCGAGUGACAGACACUAGUUUGUCAUGUACGUUUACUAGAUAACAGUUCAUUUAGUAAUUCGGCUACAUCGCGAAAUAAAUGUUAAUGCUUAUAAAAUCUAAAAAUGAGAAGCCUGCUAACAGCUUUGAUCCUGCCCUUGAUUUGAUGAGGGACAUUUGGGUGCAGGAGGUUUGUAGUGAACAGACAUUUUAUGUUGUCGCAGUACUGAAAUAUAAAAGGUCUUAAAACCAGGUUUUAGCAAUCCAGUUUUUAAUUGUGCUUUGGUGUUGUAUAUCACCAAACAAAUGUGUAAUUGAUCAAAUUACCACAAAGUAAAUGACACACAGACAACCUGGAACCUUAGGGGCCCCUGAGUUUCUGGGGCCUCGCUGCAGUUGUCCACUUUGCCCAGUUGGUAAUCCAGCCAUGGACGUAAUAAAUCAAGUUGUGAGAAUUAGUAGAAUAAUUGAUUGUGUGUGAUAAUCAAUACAUUUGGUUUAGCGUCUUGAAACAGUUUCUUUUAAAAUGAUUGUGUACAGCACUGGAUGGAUUAUCGAACGGACCUGCCGGACACAGACCCAAGGGCCUAAGGGCUCAGGGGCCCCAAAGCUCAAGUUAUUAACAUUUCUUGUUGAACAGUAAAAGGUUUUGUUGAAGAAAUAACUUUCACUGUCACUUUGAAGUAGGGAUCCGAGUCCUUUAAUAUUGAAUAUUUGAGUAAUAAAAGAGCAUCUCUUUCUACAUAAACCAGCUGCACACUUCUCCCACAUACCUGUUACAUUUAACAAAGACAUUACAGAUGUUUGACAGCUGAAUAGUUCUGAUAAAACUAGCCUGAAUCACAGUUUUCCUCCAGUAUUUUGAACAGUAUUUGUGUUACCACGUUCUAAUCAGGCUCCCUUUAUAAAGGGUUUAUAAGAUGUAAUGAAUGGCUUCCUCAGAGUUUCAUAGACCAGUUAUAAGCCAUCAUUAUAAGAACUUUUGGGUUGCCAGGUUGUGUUUUUUAGCUCUUAGCUCAUCAGUUAGACCCCUCCAAUGUACUAUUUGACCGCUUAACUACUGGAAAAGAUUUGCCAAAUUUACCAAAAUUGAUUUAUUAAUGACUCAAUAAAAUGUAUAACCGCAGACUUGACGGCUCAUUAGAAAGUGACAAACCAAUGAGCGUUUCUGAGUAGAUUACCAGCAUUGCUAACAGUAUUAUUACCACAUAGAAAGGAUGAACACCAGUCAGAGGGAUUUCUCACAAGCUGCUGUUGUUCCUAUUAGCGGCACAAAACAUUGUUUAUUAACCAUUAAUGAAGCCAUUAGUUACAACUUGUAACUCUUUACAAAGGCUGUUGUGUUAGAAAACUGGACUGUACUGAGUAUAGUACCUGAGAGAGUUAUAAUGGUCAGAGCCCAAAUGCUGCACAUAUUCUACAUUUAUCUAAACGGGGUGAUAUUAUUUAUUAUUUCACAAACAAAGUGUUUAGGUCAGCCCACAACCAAUCAGCAGCAAACUGAGCUGACUUACUGAAUGGCCUUUUGGUUAACAUACUUUAUAUGAAAAGGCAAAAC